AGAGUUUGAUCCUGGCUCAGGAUGAACGCUGGCGGCGCGCCUAACACAUGCAAGUCGAACGGAGUCAAGAGGAGCUUGCUUUUCUUGACUUAGUGGCGAACGGGUGAGUAACGCGUGAGUAACCUGCCCUGGAGUGGGGGACAACAGUUGGAAACGACUGCGAAUACCGCAUAAGCCCACGGAUCCGCAUGGAUCUGCGGGAAAAGGAUUUAUUCGCUUCAGGAUGGACUCGCGUCCAAUUAGCUAGUUGGUGAGGUAACGGCCCACCAAGGCGACGAUUGGUAGCCGGACUGAGAGGUUGAACGGCCACAUUGGGACUGAGACACGGCCCAGACUCCUACGGGAGGCAGCAGUGGGGGAUAUUGCACAAUGGGGGAAACCCUGAUGCAGCGACGCCGCGUGAAGGAAGAAGGUCUUCGGAUUGUAAACUCCUGUUGUUGAGGAAGAUAAUGACGGUACUCAACAAGGAAGUGACGGCUAACUACGUGCCAGCAGCCGCGGUAAAACGUAGGUCACAAGCGUUGUCCGGAAUUACUGGGUGUAAAGGGAGCGCAGGCGGGAAGACAAGUUGGAAGUGAAAUCUAUGGGCUCAACCCAUAAACUGCUUUCAAAACUGUUUUUCCUGAGUAGUGCAGAGGUAGGCGGAAUUCCCGGUGUAGCGGUGGAAUGCGUAGAUAUCGGGAGGAACACCAGUGGCGAAGGCGGCCUACUGGGCACCAACUGACGCUGAGGCUCGAAAGUGUGGGUAGCAAACAGGAUUAGAUACCCUGGUAGUCCACACCGUAAACGAUGAUUACUAGGUGUUGGAGGAUUGACCCCUUCAGUGCCGCAGUUAACACAAUAAGUAAUCCACCUGGGGAGUACGACCGCAAGGUUGAAACUCAAAGGAAUUGACGGGGGCCCGCACAAGCAGUGGAGUAUGUGGUUUAAUUCGACGCAACGCGAAGAACCUUACCAAGUCUUGACAUCCUGCGACGAUGCUGGAAACAGUAUUUUCCUUCGGGACGCAGAGACAGGUGGUGCAUGGUUGUCGUCAGCUCGUGCCGUGAGGUGUCGGCUUAAGUGCCAUAACGAGCGCAACCCUUAUCGAUAGUUACUAGCAGGUCAUGCUGAGGACUCUAUUGAGACUGCCGUCGUAAGAUGUGAGGAAGGUGGGGAUGACGUCAAAUCAGCACGGCCCUUACGUCCGGGGCUACACACGUGUUACAAUGGGGGGUACAGAAGGCAGCUACACGGCGACGUGGUGCUAAUCCCGAAAGCCUCUCUCAGUUCGGAUUGGAGUCUGCAACCCGACUCCAUGAAGCUGGAUUCGCUAGUAAUCGCGCAUCAGCCACGGCGCGGUGAAUACGUUCCCGGGCCUUGUACUCACCGCCCGUCA
rnacentral:rRNA from 1 species